rnacentral:lncRNA from 1 species
GGCAGCAGCAACAGACACCUGACUGCUGCAAGAAGGAAUGAUGGACGUGGACUGACAGGGAAAGCAAAAGGAGAGGAGGGAUUCACACCACGCCACGGGGAAGAGCCAGGCUCAGCUGCUUGGGAUCUAUGGAGGAGAAGCCGCGCAGGAUUUGUGGAGCCACAACGACAGAGAAGGAGCAAAUCACUGCGGGAUGCCAGAAUUCAUCCCGAGGGAGCAACUCACAGAGUUGCAUCCACGUGGACUGGCUCUAAUCCCUGUGGGUGCAGUUUCAUCCACUGAAAUCCAUCCUCUGCAAGGUGCUAGCACAGCUGCCAUGGGAAAUAAGGGCUGAGCCAUUGCUGGAAUGAUCUUACAGGAAUGAUCCUCAUCUCCAUUAGGGGCUCAGCUAAGCCAUGGAGACUUAAAGUUGAUUAUACCUUUCGUUAGGAAUGACUGAAUGAUGUUUUAAAGCUGGAAAAUGAACUCGCAGCUAAGAGGAAACACUUUCUUGGCGAGGCCGUAGAGUAGGCUCCCCACGGAAUAGAUGCAGCUGUGAGAGUCAAAAUUAAAUUGAUAUUAGAAAAUUUCCUGAGGGGGAAAAAAGUCAUCUGGUGCCUACAGAAAUGGUAUCGUGCAGAGAGCUGACUAGGAAAUGGAAAGCUGCUGAAACUCAAAUAUAUAUGUGUGUGUGUGUGAGUAUACGUAUGUCUAUAUAUGUUUAAAUAAAAAAG